AAGAUUUUAAGUUAAUUAAACUAUUAACCUUCAAAGUUAAAAAUACCCACAUAAGUAAAUCUUA
rnacentral:tRNA from 1 species